GGAUGUAGAAGGGGAAGGGCAAAGCCAGGAUAAAUAGGCUUAGUGGUAUUGAUUUUAAGUGAAGAACAACAUAGAUGUGAGGUGGAAGGAGUCGUCUAAAGAGUGGGAUGGUUUAUUUUAUGGGAGGCUGUUAUAAGACAGAGUCCUAAACAGGAGAAAAGAGUCACCUGUUUGCUCUGUCUUUAUCUACUUUUGGCAAUUGGAGACAGUUCCAAAGAACUGAUGGGCCUGAGUUAGGUCUGGGUCCUUGCCAACCUCCCGUCCUCCUGACCCACCCCUUAAUACCUGGGGGCACCAGGGAUUCAAGCCCAGAUACAGGAGUUGCCAAUUCCGUUAUGGAAAUGACUUGGACAGGUACAAUUUUUAUGUUCCUGUUAGUUCACUUGUGAGCUGGGGUUGGGGAAAAAAGAAUUGCCCAGUGGGGUAUGAAGGACACAAGAGUUCCUAUUCCCUGCUGAGAUUCCAGGAACUCAGGAGGUCAUUGUGUCCUGAAAUGUCCUAAAUGGCCACAAUCCCUGCUGGGUUCCCUCUGGUUUUCUCUUGAGUUGGAUUCCAUUCCCUCCCACUCUUCCUCUCCUGAGGGAGUCACAAGGAAUGGGCCAGCUGGAUGUAUGGAGGGAUUCAGCUUCAUUCAUGAUUCAGAGAUAGAGGGGUGGGGGCUUAGGUGGAUAUCAUUCCAUCCACACCUAUUAGACAGCCCAGAGGAGGGAAGGAAUGUGCCUGUCUGCUGUGUAGCAGAGUGUGUUGUGCACAGUGGAGCUGGGGCUAGCUUUGGGAGAAGUGUCCCAAGCAGCAGGAAUGUGAACAGGUGAGGCUUCCAGCCCACAGGAGCCUGCAGAGAGUGUGCGAGACUGAAUUGGAAGGAUGCCCACAGUGUGGUUUUCUGUGCCUCUGUUGCCUUCUCAAGUCUCCUGAGUGACAUUCUGGGCUUAGGGCUUGGAGCCAUGUGGGUCAUCUAUCCAGGAGAGAGGUCACGGUUGAGAGCUGGAAAGGUAGCUUCCCAAAGUCAUCAAGGAUGCAGGCUUCUGUAUUGCUGUUUCACCAUCCUGAGUUUUGGCUUUCACCCUCCUGGAUACUUCAUGGUCUCUAGUGAGUGCUGAAACUAUGGACCCUGGACCCACUCUGAAGGGAGCAGAAGGAGCUGGUCUGCCCCCCUUUAACAAGUCUUCUCAUCAGUCUCAUUCAGCAUUUCUGAUUCCAUCCCAACCACCACAUGGGAGACACAUGGCCACACCUAGCUGCAAGAGAAGCCAGGAAAUAUAGCUUAUCUGUUACACAUAUUGUCCAGGUUUUUGUCCCUGAGGAAGAAGGGGAGGAUGGAUUUUGGAUGGCAGUUAGCAUCCUCUACCACCCAGUUGGAAGGCUCUUGUAAUAAUCCCAGGGAGAGGUAAUGUUGGCUUUUACCAGUUGGUAGUGGAACAGAUGGUGCAGGUGGUCAGAAUCUAUAAUAUUUUGAAGGUAAAUCUGACAGCAUUUGCUGAAAAAUUGUGUGUGUGUGAGAGAGAGACAGAGAGAGAGAGAGAGGAAUUUCUGCUAUGGAAUAAAUGUUUGUGCCCCCCUAAAAUUCAUAUUUUGAAGUUCUAAUCCCCAAUGUGAUGGUAUUUGGAGGUGGGGCCUUUGGGAACUGAUUAGGUCAUGAGAGUGGAGCCCCCAUGCAUGGGAUUAGUGCCCAUUAUGAGAAGAGACCUCAAAGAGAUGACUGUUUCUCUGCCAUGUGAAGAUACAACAAAAAAGGAGGCUGUUGUCUGCAAACCAGGAAGCAGUCCCUCACCAGACACUGAAUCUGCUGGCACUUUGAUCUUGGAUUUUCCUGCUUCUACAAUGGCGAGAAAUAAACGUUUGUUGUUUAAGCCACUCAGUCUACCGUAAUUUGUUAUAUCAGCCCAAGCUGAUAAGCUUUGACUAAGAUCAAAGGGAGGAUGAUGCCAGGUUUUUGGCCCGAGCAGCUACAAGAAUGGGGUUGCUAUGGACUGAACUGAGAAAGGCUCUUGAAGGAGCCCCGUUGGUGAGGGAGUGUUGUCUUGGCUGUGUGAAGUUUGAGAGGCUUAAUAGACAUCUUGGUGGAGCUUUAAAGCAGGCAGUUUGAUACAUAAGGCUAAAGUUCUGGGGGUGUUUCUGGGCUGGAUGAUGUUUACAGCCAAAAGAUUGCAUGGGACUACCUUGGGCAUGGUACAG
rnacentral:lncRNA from 10 species